CACACUGGACUGAGACACGGUCCAGACUCCUACGGGAGGCAGCAGUGGGGAAUAUUGCACAAUGGGCGCAAGCCUGAUGCAGCCAUGCCGCGUGUGUGAAGAAGGCCUUCGGGUUGUAAAGCACUUUCAGUCGUGAGGAAGGCGGUGUCGUUAAUAGCGGCCUCGUUUGACGUUAGCUACAGAAGAAGCACCGGCUAACUCCGUGCCAGCAGCCGCGGUAAUACGGAGGGUGCGAGCGUUAAUCGGAAUUACUGGGCGUAAAGCGCAUGCAGGUGGUUUGUUAAGUCAGAUGUGAAAGCCCGGGGCUCAACCUCGGAAUAGCAUUUGAAACUGGCAGACUAGAGUACUGUAGAGGGGGGUAGAAUUUCAGGUGUAGCGGUGAAAUGCGUAGAGAUCUGAAGGAAUACCGGUGGCGAAGGCGGCCCCCUGGACAGAUACUGACACUCAGAUGCGAAAGCGUGGGGAGCAAACAGGAUUAGAUACCCUGGUAGUCCACGCCGUAAACGAUGUCUACUUGGAGGUUGUGGCCUUGAGCCGUGGCUUUCGGAGCUAACGCGUUAAGUAGACCGCCUGGGGAGUACGGUCGCAAGAUUAAAACUCAAAUGAAUUGACGGGGGCCCGCACAAGCGGUGGAGCAUGUGGUUUAAUUCGAUGCAACGCGAAGAACCUUACCUACUCUUGACAUCCAGAGAACUUUCCAGAGAUGGAUUGGUGCCUUCGGGAACUCUGAGACAGGUGCUGCAUGGCUGUCGUCAGCUCGUGUUGUGAAAUGUUGGGUUAAGUCCCGCAACGAGCGCAACCCUUAUCCUUGUUUGCCAGCGAGUAAUGUCGGGAACUCCAGGGAGACUGCCGGUGAUAAACCGGAGGAAGGUGGGGACGACGUCAAGUCAUCAUGGCCCUUACGAGUAGGGCUACACACGUGCUACAAUGGCGCAUACAGAGGGCGGCCAACUUGCGAGAGUGAGCGAAUCCCAAAAAGUGCGUCGUAGUCCGGAUUGGAGUCUGCAACUCGACUCCAUGAAGUCGGAAUCGCUAGUAAUCGUGGAUCAGAAUGCCACGGUGAAUACGUUNCCCGGGCCUUGUACACACCGCCCGUCAC
rnacentral:rRNA from 1 species